rnacentral:rRNA from 1 species
UAGGGAAUCUUGCACAAUGGGCGAAAGCCUGAUGCAGCGAUGCCGCGUGAGGGAUGAAGGCCCUCGGGUUGUAAACCUCUUUCAGUAGGGAAGAAGCCACGGGACACCGUGGUGACGGUACCUACAGAAGAAGCCCCGGCUAACUACGUGCCAGCAGCCGCGGUAAAACGUAGGGGGCUAGCGUUGCCCGGAAUCACUGGGCGUAAAGCGGGUGUAGGCGGUUCUUUAAGUCGGAUGUGAAAUCCAGCGGCCCAACCGCUGAAUUGCAUCCGAUACUGGGGAACUUGAGGACGGUAGAGGUCGGUGGAAUAUCCGGUGUACCGGUGAAAUGGACAGAUAUCGGAUGGAACACCAGUGGCGAAGGCGGCCGACUGGGCCGAUCCUGACGCUGAGACCCGAAAGCUAGGGUAGCGAACCG